ensembl:lncRNA
CCCCACCCCUAUACUCCUCCCUGCUGUGCCCGGCACUGUCUCCUCAGGUCACAGCAGCUUUCUGACUGUCCCUCGCUUAUUGAUUUUCUUCCCUGAGGCCUUUGUACUAGCUGUUUCCUCUUCCUGGAAUGACAUUUUCCCUUUGUCCUCCUGGUAAAUUCCUGCUCGUCUCCUCAAGGCCUGUGGCACCUUCUCCCACAAAGAAUUCACCACACUCUGAAAGAAGAGUUUCCUGGCUGCUAAAUUGGCCUCCCAGCUGUGCUGUGCUUCAGGGCAGACAAGCUGGGCGAUUAGCAGGGCUACUUGACUGUCCUCAUAACAUGGCUGCUGGCUUCCUCCAGAGUAAAGGAAGAGAAAGAAAAAAACCAAAAGAAAGAGAAAGGAAAGAAACCACAUUCUGUUCAUCAGGAGCAACUUACUAAGUCCAGGCCAUAAUCUAGAGGAGAGAAUUAAACUCUAGCUCUGGAAAGGAAGAAUAUAAAGCAAUUCAUGCACGUAUUUUGAAGUCAUCAAAGGCCAUGAAGGAAACUGGAUUCCGGAACUGCUGCCACGGUCCUGUUUCCCCAAAUGUGGUGGGUGAUUAUGGAUUCAGUGAUGAUGGCAGGAGGAAGACCCACUUGACAAGGCUGGAACUGGGAACCCGACGCAGUCAGGA